AACAUGCUGAAACCCCGUCUUUAUUAAAAAUACAAAAAUUAGCCGGUUAUGGUGGCAAGCGCUUGUAAUCCCAGCUACUUGGGAGACUGAGGCAGGAGAAUCACUUGAACUGGGGAAGCGGUGGUUGCAGUGAGCCGAGAUUGCCACUGCACUCCAGCCUGGGCAACAGAGCGAGACCCCAUCUCCAAAAAAAAAAAAAAAAAGUAUGUCCCUUUUCCCAGUUUGUUCUAUGUAUAUUGUUUAUACAUAUAACAAGUAUUUUCCCUUUUCCAAGUUUGUUCUAUGUAUAUUGCAUAUUUUGAGGCUGGUCUCCAACUCCUGACCUCAGGUGAUCAGCCUGCCUCAGCCUCCCAAAGUGCUAGGAUUACAGGCCUGAGCCAUUGCCCUCAGCCUGU
rnacentral:lncRNA from 1 species